GCACCACUGCCACUAUCACAAUGACCCAUUAGAAAGCUGCUGAUUCAAAUGCAAGCAGUUCCAGGGGUACUUGGAGAAGUCAGGGGUGCUGGAUACAAUGACCAAGGUAUUGGUUGCCUUAUAUGAACAA